GUCCACGCCGUAAACGAUGAGUGCUUGAUGUUGGGGGCCUAGCCCCUCAGUGUCGUAGCUAACGUGAUAAGCACUCCGCCUGGGGAGUACGGCCGCAAGGUUAAAACUCAAAGGAAUUGACGGGGCCCGCACAAGCGGUGGAGCAUGUGGUUCAAUUCGACGCAACGCGAAGAACCUUACCAGCUCUUGACAUUAGACGUAUGGGGCCGAGAGAUCGGCUCCUUCAGUUCGGCUGGCGUCCAAACAGGUGCUGCAUGGCUGUCGU
rnacentral:rRNA from 1 species